AAGAAGAAAACCUAACCUACACUUUUAUCUCAUUCAUUUUUUUUAAGCUUAAACUCUCUCUCUCGGCGCCGCUCAAUGUUCAUCGUCUCUUUCAGAGACUCUCCGAACCACGCCCCAAACUCCGAUGAUGUCGGAGAAAGAGCAACAGAUCCGGUCACGAGGUACGGAGACCAGCUAGCGUACAGAGGUAGCGGACGUGGCGCCUGGCACAUGGGGAGAAGCAUGUGUGGCAGCAGAGGCUCGGCGCGCGUGCGAGGGCUUGGCUGCCGCGCCUAGAUCUUCUAGGUUUCCAUGUGUUGUUUAGUAUUUUGGGCUCAUUUAGGGUUUGGGUAGAAUUAGGUGUUGGACCUUAAUUGUUUGGGCUAAUUUUUGGACUGAUGUUUAGUGGGUUUGAGGCUUAAUGUAAUCCGGGCUUGGAUUUAAAUUUGUAAUACUGGACUGUAUUAGACUCUUAUUAUAUUUAUUAUUUUUUGGUUUUUUUUUGCUUAUUCUGAAUGGCCCCCUGGGAAAUUGGGCCUAUUACAGCUAAAAUUAGAAAAUAGAAAUUUCCGGGAAGGUCCAUUAUAUUUGUAGGAAGAUCUUGUUAAAUCAUAAAUACAAGUGGCUGCUUAACUUCAUGGAA